AUUGAACGCUGGCGGCAUGCCUUACACAUGCAAGUCGAACAGUAACAGGGUGCUUGCACCGCUGACGAGUGGCGAACGGGUGAGUAAUGCGUCGGACGUGCCGAGUAGUGGGGGAUAACGCAGCGAAAGUUGUGCUAAUACCGCAUACGUACUGAGGUAGAAAGUGGGGGACCUUCGGGCCUCACGCUAUUCGAGCGGCCGACGUCUGAUUAGCUAGUAGGUGAGGUAAAGGCUCACCUAGGCGACGAUCAGUAGCGGGUCUGAGAGGAUGAUCCGCCAAACUGGGACUGAGACACGGCCCAGACUCCUACGGGAGGCAGCAGUGGGGAAUUUUGGACAAUGGGCGAAAGCCUGAUCCAGCCAUGCCGCGUGUCUGAAGAAGGCCUUCGGGUUGUAAAGGACUUUUGUCGGGGAGGAAAUCCCCAGCGUUAAUACCGCUGGGGAAUGACAGUACCUGAAGAAUAAGCACCGGCUAACUACGUGCCAGCAGCCGCCGUAA
rnacentral:rRNA from 1 species